UUACUUCGUUUGGUGUUUGAUGCAUAUCGAGCGGUAACAGGAAGGUGCUUGCACCUUUGCUGACGAGCGGCGGACGGGUGAGUAAUGCCUAGGUAUCUGCCCAGUCGAGGGGGAUAACAGUUGGAAACGACUGCUAAUACCGCAUACGCCCUACGGGGGAAAGGAGGGGACCUUCGGGCCUUUCGCGAUUGGAUGAACCUAGGUGGGAUUAGCUAGUUGGUGAGGUAAUGGCUCACCAAGGCGACGAUCCCUAGCUGGUCUGAGAGGAUGAUCAGCCACACUGGAACUGAGACACGGUCCAGACUCCUACGGGAGGCAGCAGUGGGGAAUAUUGCACAAUGGGGGAAACCCUGAUGCAGCCAUGCCGCGUGUGUGAAGAAGGCCUUCGGGUUGUAAAGCACUUUCAGCGAGGAGGAAAGGUUAAGUCUUAAUACGGCUUAGCUGUGACGUUACUCGCAGAAGAAGCACCGGCUAACUUCGUGCCAGCAGCCGCGGUAAUACGAGGGGUGCAAGCGUUAAUCGGAAUUACUGGGCGUAAAGCGUACGCAGGCGGUUUGUUAAGCAAGAUGUGAAAGCCCUGGGCUCAACCUAGGAACCGCAUUUUGAACUGGCAAACUAGAGUCUUGUAGAGGGGGGUAGAAUUUCAGGUGUAGCGGUGAAAUGCGUAGAGAUCUGA
rnacentral:rRNA from 1 species